UACGGGGGGGGGCAAGCGUUGUUCGGAAUUACUGGGCGUAAAGGGCUCGUAGGCGGCCAACUAAGUCGGAUGUGAAAUCCCCAGGCUUAACCUGGGAACUGCAUCUGAUACUGGAUGGCUUGAAUCCGGGAGAGGGAUGCAGAAUUCCAGGUGUAGCGGUGAAAUGCGUAGAUAUCUGGAGGAACACCGGUGGCGAAGGCGGCAUCCUGGACCGGCAUUGACGCUGAGGCGCGAAAGCGUGGGGAGCAAACGGG
rnacentral:rRNA from 1 species